rnacentral:rRNA from 1 species
UCGGACGUCCAGGAGUGAACGCUCGGCGGCGUGCUUAACACAUGCAAGUCGAGGCGAAGCACUCCACCGGAUUUCUUCGGAAGGAAGGUGGUUUGACUGAGCGGCGGACGGGUGAGUAACGCGUGGGUAACCUGCCUUACACAGGGGGAUAACAGUUAGAAAUGACUGCUAAUACCGCAUAACCCGCUAGGCCGCAUGGCCCGGACGGAAAGAUUUUAUCGGUGUAAGAUGGACCCGCGUCUGAUUAGGCUGGUUGGUGAGGUAACGGCCCACCAAGGCGACGAUCAGUAGCCGACCUGAGAGGGUGAUCGGCCACAUUGGGACUGAGACACGGCCCAAACUCCUACGGGAGGCAGCAGUGGGGAAUAUUGCACAAUGGGGGAAACCCUGAUGCAGCAACGCCGCGUGAGUGAAGAAGUAUUUUCGGUAUGUAAAGCUCUAUCAGCAGGGAAGAAAAUGACAGUACCUGACUAAGAAGCCCCGGCUAACUACGUG